UACCUACGGGAGGCAGCAGUAGGGAAUCUUCCAUAAUGGACGAAAGUCUGAUGGAGCAACGCCGCGUGAGUGAAGAAGGGUUUCGGCUCGUAAAGCUCUGUUGGUAGUGAAGAAAGAUAGAGGUAGUAACUGGCCUUUAUUUGACGGUAAUUACUUAGAAAGUCACGGCUAACUACGUGCCAGCAGCCGCGGUAAUACGUAGGUGGCAAGCGUUGUCCGGAUUUAUUGGGCGUAAAGCGAGUGCAGGCGGUUCAAUAAAGCUGAUGUGAAAGACUUCGGCUCAACCGGAGAAUUGCA
rnacentral:rRNA from 1 species